rnacentral:lncRNA from 1 species
GUGACAGAAGAAAAUGCUUGAAGUUCCCAGAGCCGAAUUCCCCAAACUUCAGUACAAAUGACAACUAUACAUUAACAAAAGCAAGCUGAACUCAGAGUCUUCCAGAUUCAUCCCGAAGAUGGGCCUACUUUGGACACCUGUGUAAACUGUCUCAAACUGCGUUAUUUCCUGGUGUGAAUUUCUGAUAUGAGAGUGAUCUGGUGGGAUUUCAGGGUUUACAGAUCAGUACUGCUCCCCAUGUUAUUAAAACAACAACAAAACAGGUUAUUUGUGGGUAACUGAAAUAAUACCUAGUUAGCUUUUGGGGUGACCAAAUGUUAAUUUAAGCAAGGGGCAUAGUUCUGGCCGCUUUUCUUUGUUGAGAAAAAAUGAAUGAAUAGCGAGCCCAUUAAAAACCUUCCUCUAUCAGAGCCUAGCUGUGGAGAAACUUACUUAAUGGAUCUGCUGAUAAUGACUUUGCAAAGAACCACUACUGUUAUUUUGUCAUAUACUACCCUGUCUCAGAUGUCUUUACUGUUAGGGUAAAGACACCCUAAUCUACUGUUAGGGUAAAGACGCCCUCACCUUAAUCCAGACACUCAUCACCUUCUACCAAAGCUACUAUGACAACUUCCUGGCUAGACUUCUGCCUGCAGCCUCAUGUAUAUCCUAGUUCACGGUGGGUCUAGCUGGCUCAGAAAUCAUCCUAAAAGGUCAUGUUCAUGCUAUUAAUCCCUUUUCAAGGACUUGCAGUGGCACCCCACUGUUGAUCUCAUUAGGUUAAAACACCUUAUUCUCUGCAUCAGUAUGAGUACACCCUCUCUGCUCUGCCCAAAUUGGAACAGCCUGGAGCUUUUAUUUAUGCUCUUCCAUCAUUUUUUUUGGGGGGGGGGGUCAAAUUUUUACCCAUCAAGCAAUUUGGCAAUAUGUACUGGGUCUUAAUUUUUUCCUACUCUUAAGGAAACAAUUCUUCAUAUAGAAACUCAUUUCAUGUACAAAGAUGGCCAUUACAGUUACUUAUAUACUAUAUAGUUAAAAGUUACAACUUAAAUGUUUAGCAAAGGAGAAAGAAUUAAGUGUGGUCCAUUUAUAAAACAGACAUAUAAAUGACAUUGUUAACACAGCAUAAAGAAUUAAUGUAAAAAAAAAUACUUAUGUUCCAACAGAGGAGAAAAAAAAAUUGAAGUCUGUAUAGAGCAUGAGCUCAAUUAAAAAAUAGGGAAGAACUUUUAGAAAUACAUAUUCCAAAACUGUCAAGAGAGGUUAUCUAUGGAUGGCACGAUUAUGGGUUACUUCUAGUUUUUUGUUUUUCAUACUUUUUCAGUGAUAUUUUAAUCAAAACAAUGUACUUUUUUCUUUUUAUAUCUUUUAUUGCUUUUGUUUCUGAUAGUUAAGGUAAUUCAUACCUAUUGUUAAAAUUUCAGACAAUAUAGAAAUACAUACAUUUUUAAAAAAUAAAAAUCACCUAUAAUUUCAAUAAAAGAAUCACCUAGUGAUA